AUUCGGGGUGGGGCGGGGAAGGGGCGUCAAAUUCUGGAAGGGCUAAAUCCCAGGUGGGAGAAGAACAAGAAAGGAGGUCUCCUCCCCUGACAACACCAGCAACAGAGUUGGCUUCUAUUACCAGGUGUUCGGGAAACAUCUCAUUUCUUCGUCCGCAACCGAGAGUCCAGCAGGAGGGUGCUAGUGGGACCACGCUGGGCUCCCCACCUCCAUAGAGUCACGACUAUAUUGUGGCGGAGCAAAGAUAACAACCCCGAAGAUAAACAGAUGACAGCCUCAUACGUCAGGAGCAACAGCCUGGCGGAAAGGGGAAAGAAGCGCUCAGGAAUCCGAGCAGCGUAAAGGCCAGCUCCGGUGAUGUACAUCACAGCCAUGAGGAAGAACCAGCCCAUCUGGCCCACUGUCGUGGCCUUGACGAAGCCCUCGGCGAUAGUAAAGUGCAUCGUGGGCACGACGCCACUCAAGCCAAGUCCCAGGAACACUCCUGAACAAAACCAAGGUGAAGAGUCCAAGACUGUGACUCAUAGAGCACAGCCCUUCCUGUAUGCAUACUCGAAAACCAAGAAGUGUUUGUUGGAAUACCAACAACAGAAUUUACGGAAGAUAACCCAGUGGAGACGUGAAUUCUGAGUUGGAAAAGCUUUCAGGAGCACCUUGGAAAUCAAAUCGUAAUUCCAUGCAGAAAAACAAUGUCAACUUUCCUCCAGAGGCUGAUGCAUUGUUCUGUCCCAAUGAGACUAACAAGAAAGAUCUGAGGAAGCUUCCCUAGGGAGAAGGGAGUGGACUGGGUGAUGCAGGCACAGCAGAGAAGGGCAGUCAGGACAGAGGAGCUGGGGGUGCGGGAACAACUCUGUUCAGGCACCAACAUGUCUGGCUGGGGCUGGCGAUGUCAGGUUACUUUUUAAAGGAGAAGGCUUCUCUUCCAAACAGAAAGAUGAAACUUUGCUUUGUUAGCCAGUUACCCUGAAGGAUAAAUAUGGUGAAGGAAUGGACAAGAGACAGAAGAAUGGCCGAGACAAGGGAACACAGUGAGAGGUACCUGGCUCAAAAGCACCCCCUCUAAUGUGUUCUUCCCCCACCCUAAGAGCUUCCAGGGAGAAGCUGAGCUUCUGGCUCUGCUGAGACAGCUGCUAAGAUGAUCACUGAGCUUGGCGGCAGAUCACAUUUCAGCACACAGUACAUGAUGGCUGAAAGGCUCUUUGGAAGCCCUGGCCGAAAUUUUGCGCUGGGGAAACCCUCCCUCCCAAGAUAGCAGGGCAUGAAAAAUCUUGGAAACAAGGACCCCAGACACAACAACCCCUGAGGUAUGACACAGGGGCCUCAGCCCCAUUUAUUUGUGUAGCCAGAGGUUCCUGCCACAGCGCAGUCUUACACUUUGGGUAGGCAUUGCCUCCAGCCUGGGCAGGGGCAGAGAGACAGACACACACAUACAUAUUUCAGAUUCCUUCUCUGAGGGGUUGGAGAUCUGCAGAAACCAUUUCUUCUUUUCCUGCAGUCUCUAUAAGGCUACCUCUAUGAUUCUGCUCAACUUGUGCUCACACGUUCAAAAUCUGCUGUGGGUUAAGCAUGAAUAUUAAGUAGAACCCAUUACAUUGCUUUUCCUUGCAUCACAGACUAGCGCAAUGCCCUCGAGGGGCCAGUAGUCUUGGAAUAAAUGUUUUUUUUCCUUUUCUUUCCUUUCUCUUUCCCUUUCCUUCCCAGGCUUCCUUCUUUCUGACUCACAGAAGAGAUUAUUCCAUAGGCCUGACCAGGACUUUUUAUCAAAGGGGCCCUUCCAGUGAAUGACUCGGACUUGGCCCUUUUCCAUGGCCACAAGGAUGUUGUCCCUGCAAGCGCCAUCUAGAUUUUAGCUCCAGAGUGAGACCAAAAGGCUGGAAUUCUCAGGAAAGGCUUAUAGCAUUUGAGUACUGAUUGGGGACAGUUGCGGGAAGUGGGACCGGGAGACUAGGGGAUGCUCAGUAGGUAAAUCGCAUCUUUUGUGAGUAGCCCAGUUUGUCCAAGUUGGGAUGGCAGGCCAGCUGCACCAUCGGGGGAGGCCCGCAGAGCAGCAGCAGCACAUCAUCCCCUGGGGCUGGCAGGUGCUGGCGGAUCAUGUCGGCGGUGACGAAGCCUUUGCUGUAGGUCCAAUCUGAAGCAGAGGGGAGAGGAAAGAACUGAUGCUCCAGGCCCAAGCUGACAGGGGUUGUAGAGCCCAUAGGUGGGGCAGGGGGAGGACCCCAAAGGCACCUCAGAAGCCAUCCAGCUGUAGCAGCUGUAUACUCAGUCUGCCCCAGCAGCACAGACAUCCCUUCCCCCGCCCCAGGUAAACAGGCACCAGCCCAGAAGACCCCCAUGUCUACUCACUUGGGAGUUUGGCAGUGCCAGGGAGAGCUGGUUUCACUGCAGCCAGAACUCACAGAGGGGAAAGGCCCUGGUUUAGGGACGUCCAGAAAUGGGGAGGGUACCUUUUGGUGGAUGAUCCAGAGUAAACCAGAGCUUCAUGCGAUUGGGAUACUGGGCCUGUAGUUCCUCCAAAUCUUCCCGUAAGAUUAUGUCAUUUUCAGUCUGAAACGAAAAUGAGAAGGGGUAACAAAGUUUUUAGGAAUGUUUUUGAGGCCACUCAAAAAAAAUUUUCUGCUCUAACAAUUUUUCAACCGGGAGUGAAAAAUAAUGGUGAAGUUCUAGGGAGUGAGCAAGACUUUUAGGGAGUUAGGAUGAGGGGAAGGUGAGGGAAACAGCCUUUGUUUAUAUAGCAUGAAGGAA